GAUAAACGCUGGCGGCGCACAUAAGACAUGCAAGUCGAACGGACUUAACUCAUUCUUUACGAUUGAGAGCGGUUAGUGGCGGACUGGUGAGUAACACGUAAGCAACCUGCCUAUCAGAGGGGAAUAACAGUGAGAAAUCAUUGCUAAUACCGCAUAUGCUCACGGUACCACAUGGUACAGUUAGGAAAGGAGCAAUCCGCUGAUAGAUGGGCUUGCGUCUGAUUAGCUAGUUGGUGGGGUAAAGGCCUACCAAGGCGACGAUCAGUAGCCGGACUGAGAGGUUGAACGGCCACAUUGGGACUGAGAUACGGCCCAGACUCCUACGGGAGGCAGCAGUCGGGAAUAUUGCGCAAUGGAGGAAACUCUGACGCAGUGACGCCGCGUAUAGGAAGAAGGUUUUCGGAUUGUAAACUAUUGUCGUUAGGGAAGAUACAAGACAGUACCUAAGGAGGAAGCCCCGGCUAACUAUGUG
rnacentral:rRNA from 1 species